AGAGUUUGAUCCUGGCUCAGAAUCAACGCUGGCGGCGUGCCUAACACAUGCAAGUCGAACGCGAAGACCCCGCAAGGGGUUUGUAGCGUGGCAAACGGGUGAGUAACACGUGGGUGACCUGCCUUCGAGUGGGGGAUAACGUCCCGAAAGGGACGCUAAUACCGCAUAACAUCCUGCUUUUUAAGAGGUGGAGAUCAAAGCCGGGGAUUCGCAAGAACCUGGCGCUUGAAGAGGGGCCCGCGCCUGAUUAGCUAGUUGGUGGGGUAAUGGCUCACCAAGGCAACGAUAAGUAUCCGGCCUGAGAGGGCGGACGGACACACUGGGACUGAGACACGGCCCAGACUCCUACGGGAGGCAGCAGUGGGGAAUUGUUCGCAAUGGGCGCAAGCCUGACGACGCAACGCCGCGUGGAGGAUGAAGACCUUCGGGUCGUAAAC
rnacentral:rRNA from 1 species